rnacentral:piRNA from 1 species
UAAGCUCAGAACUUGAAAUCCCACCGA